GCUGCCUGCCCGUGGCUCCUCCAUCCUCAUCCCUGACUACCCUCUCGUGCACUAUGAGAAUAUGUUGUAUUAGCAAUAGCAAAUCACUGCAUCUGAAAGAUGAACAAGUUCUCUCUUAGCCACAUAAAUGUUUGACCUCUACGGGUAUCCACUCAGGACCAGUCUGGAUUGGUCCUCUUGAAGUAGAUCCUUCUUCUCUAAGUUGGAUCUUUCCUUAAUCUUCUUUUUCUCUUCUUCUUC
rnacentral:lncRNA from 1 species